GGAUGUGACUGCAAGGCCAGGAAGCUACAGGGACUUUCUGAUUAAGUCCACACAAACAAAGGCCAGGUCCUCACUGCUUGGCGAUGUGUCCGGGGCAGCGCUUCUACCGCUGUGGACGGGGUGAGAGGUCCUCCCAAGCACACGUCAAUGACCUCAAUGACUGACAGCCACCCAGGAGGGAAGAGCCGGAGCCAGGUGACUUCGUGCCUUCCCACAGCGGCCCUGCUGCCCUGGCAGCCUCUGCCCCGUCCUGGUGCCCUGACUGACCAGCCACAAGGACAGAGAGUGAGUCCUGCCCAGCCCUUGGGGGUCCAGUCUGCUCGGUCAAGGAGCCCCGUGGAGCCAGGGGUGAACCAGUGCCCAGCGUGCCCAGAGAAGGCCCCAGCCAGACCAUGGCAGGUGUCUGUGACAGGGCCCCCACAUUCCUCUCCCCGUCCGGAAACCAGGUCCUGGGGCCUGCCCUCGGCAGUGUGGUUGCUCUGAACUGCACAGCCUGGGUGGUCUCUGGGCCCCACUGUCCCCUGCCCUCUGUGCAGUGGCUGAAAGAUGGGCAGCUGCUGGACAAUGGAAGCCACUACAACCACCAUGAGGACUCCUGGGUCAAGGCCAAUUUGUCAGAGGUGUUUGUGUCCAGCAUCAUGGAGGUCAACCUGACCAGUGCUGAGGACUUCGGGGCUUUCACUUGCUCUGUCCAGAACGUCAGCUCUUUCUCCUUCACUCUUUGGAGAGCUGGCCCGGCGGGCCACGUGGCCACAGUGCUGGCCUCACUCCUAGUCCUGCUGGCCCUGCUUCUCGCGGCGCUGCUCUACAUUAAGUGUCGACUCAAUGUGCUGCUCUGGUACCAAGACGUGUACGGGGAGGUGGAGAUGAACGACGGGAAGCUCUACGACGCCUUCGUCUCCUACAGCGACAGCCCCGAGGACCGGAAGUUCGUGAACUUCAUUCUGAAGCCGCAGCUGGAGCGGCGUCGGGGCUACAAGCUCCUCCUGGAUGACCGCGACCUCCUGCCCCGCGCGGAGCCUUCAGCGGACCUGCUGGUGAACCUGAGUCGCUGCCGGCGCCUCAUCGUGGUGCUGUCCGACGCUUUCCUGGGCCGGGCCUGGUGCAGCCACAGCUUCCGGGAGGGCCUGUGCCGGCUGCUGGAGCUCACACGCAGACCCAUUUUCAUCACCUUCGAGGGCCAGAGGCGCGACCCCGCGCACCCAGCGCUCCGCCUGCUGCGCCAGCACCGCCACCUGGUGACGCUGCUGCUCUGGAGGCCCGGCUCUGUGGCUGACUGCCACACCCUGCCCCCAGACGCCUUCCUCCGACUUUUGGAAGGAGCUCCAGCUGGCGCUGCCACGGAAGAUGCAGUACAGGGCGAUGGAGGGCGACCCCCAGACGCGGCUGCAGGAUGACAAGGACCCCAUGCUGAUUGUGCAGGGCCAUGCCCCAGAGGGUCGGGCCCUGGACCCGGAGCUGGAUCCUGACCCCGAGGGGGACCUGGGUGUCCGAGGGCCUAUCUUUGGGGAGCCAUCAGCACCACCACAUGCAAGUGGGGUCUCACUUGGAGGGGGCCGGGGCAGCGAGAUGGACGUCUCAGACCUUGGGUCCCGCAACUAUGGUGCCCGCACGGACUUCUACUGCCUGGUGUCUGAGGAUGAUGUGUAGCCCCCAUCACCUGCCCAAGCAGCAGGGUCACCAGGGAUGUGGGGUAGGGUUGCAGGGGAGGCCCUGAGACUCUGGGGAAAGUGAGUGCAGUAGCGCCCCUCCCUGUGCCAGAAAAUAAAGUCAUUUUGGAUCCUG